rnacentral:rRNA from 1 species
GCAGUCGAGCGGACAGAUGGGAGCUUGCUCCCUGAUGUUAGCGGCGGACGGGUGAGUAACACGUGGGUAACCUGCCUGUAAGACUGGGAUAACUCCGGGAAACCGGGGCUAAUACCGGAUGGUUGUCUGAACCGCAUGGUUCAGACAUAAAAGGUGGCUUCGGCUACCACUUACAGAUGGACCCGCGGCGCAUUAGCUAGUUGGUGAGGUAACGGCUCACCAAGGCGACGAUGCGUAGCCGACCUGAGAGGGUGAUCGGCCACACUGGGACUGAGACACGGCCCAGACUCCUACGGGAGGCAGCAGUAGGGAAUCUUCCGCAAUGGACGAAAGUCUGACGGAGCAACGCCGCGUGAGUGAUGAAGGUUUUCGGAUCGUAAAGCUCUGUUGUUAGGGAAGAACAAGUGCCGUUCAAAUAGGGCGGCACCUUGACGGUACCUAACCAGAAAGCCACGGCUAACUACGUGCCAGCAGCCGCGGUAAUACGUAGGUGGCAAGCGUUGUCCGGAAUUAUUGGGCGUAAAGGGCUCGCAGGCGGUUUCUUAAGUCUGAUGUGAAAGCCCCCGGCUCAACCGGGGAGGGUCAUUGGAAACUGGGGAACUUGAGUGCAGAAGAGGAGAGUGGAAUUCCACGUGUAGCGGUGAAAUGCGUAGAGAUGUGGAGGAACACCAGUGGCGAAGGCGACUC